rnacentral:rRNA from 1 species
GGACGAACGCUGGCGGCGUGCUUAACACAUGCAAGUCGAACGAGGGUCAGGAGAGCUGCUCGAAUGAAUCCGAGUGGCGGACGGGUGAGUAACGCGUGAACAAUCUGUCUCAUACAGGGGGAUAACGCAUCGAAAGAUGUGCUAAUACCGCGUAGGACCACGGUGUCGCAUGGCACAGGGGUGAAAGGAGCAAUCCGGUAUGAGGUGAGUUCGCGUCUGAUUAGAUAGUUGGUGAGGUAACGGCUCACCAAGUCAACGAUCAGUAGCCGACCUGAGAGGGUGAUCGGCCACAUUGGGACUGAGACACGGCCCAGACUCCUACGGGAGGCAGCAGUGGGGAAUAUUGGGCAAUGGGCGAAAGCCUGAACCCCCAGCAACGCCGCGUGAGGGAAGAAGGUUUUCGGAUUGUAAACCUCUGUCCUGUAUGAAGAGCAGAAGACGGUAGUACAGGAGGAAGCCCCGGCUAACUACGUGCCAGCCGCAGC